rnacentral:rRNA from 1 species
ACGCUGGCGGCAGGCCUAACACAUGCAAGUCGAGCGGUAGAGAGAAGCUUGCUUCUCUUGAGAGCGGCGGACGGGUGAGUAAUGCCUAGGAAUCUGCCUGGUAGUGGGGGAUAACGUUCGGAAACGGACGCUAAUACCGCAUACGUCCUACGGGAGAAAGCAGGGGACCUUCGGGCCUUGCGCUAUCAGAUGAGCCUAGGUCGGAUUAGCUAGUUGGUGAGGUAAUGGCUCACCAAGGCGACGAUCCGUAACUGGUCUGAGAGGAUGAUCAGUCACACUGGAACUGAGACACGGUCCAGACUCCUACGGGAGGCAGCAGUGGGGAAUAUUGGACAAUGGGCGAAAGCCUGAUCCAGCCAUGCCGCGUGUGUGAAGAAGGUCUUCGGAUUGUAAAGCACUUUAAGUUGGGAGGAAGGGCAUUAACCUAAUACGUUAGUGUUUUGACGUUACCGACAGAAUAAGCACCGGCUAACUCUGUGCCAGCAGCCGCGGUAAUACAGAGGGUGCAAGCGUUAAUCGGAAUUACUGGGCGUAAAGCGCGCGUAGGUGGUUUGUUAAGUUGGAUGUGAAAUCCCCGGGCUCAACCUGGGAACUGCAUUCAAAACUGGCUGACUAGAGUAUGGUAGAGGGUGGUGGAAUUUCCUGUGUAGCGGUGAAAUGCGUAGAUAUAGGAAGGAACACCAGUGGCGAAGGCGACCACCUGGACUAAUACUGACACUGAGGUGCGAAAGCGUGGGGAGCAAAC